AGCACCGCUUCCAGUUGUGCUGGGCAGUGAGUACACUGUGAUGCCAGAGCCCACAGUCCCUUCGGGAACUCAUCGCAGUUUGUGGCCCGCUCUGGGUGCUGUGUUGAAAGAUUGUAGGGAAUGAGAGGAAGCAGCCAGGAGAAAGGAGACUGGCAAUAACCCAGGUGCCUUCUGGGGAAAGGGGCCUGACUGCAGGAGGGGCAGGAUGGGGAGGCCAGGAGGCAGAAGCCCCUCCUUCCGUGCGAGAUGUCGGCAAACCAGUGCAGCCGGAAGAGUCUGGAGACAGCACCUCCGCUUUCAAGUCAUUGCGGAUGAAUGAGAUUACAGAGAGCCCGUGUGCUGAUGGCGUACAGAGAGCAUGCCAUCCCUUUAGAGGUCAGGCCUUGAGGGGCCGCCAGCAAAUGAGACAAGAGUGGCCAGUAAAAUUCAAGAAGUCCUGCUCCAGGUCCUAUUUCCCAUCUUUGUUUGCCCCAUCAAUUAAGCCACCUGCCCAAGGACUUCCCCAGGCUGACUGGAGCCCAGCCCGGAGCCCCACGUGGGACCUAGAUUGUGGCCAAUUAGGAAGUCAGUGCUCUGUGGCCCCCAACUUCAAGUUAGGUGUCCACAGGCACGUGCAGAGCCCCGGUCAUCACCCGUGUCAGGACCCCCAACCGCUGGCAGCAGGAAGGAGAAAGGACCACGGGGACAGAAGCCUCCUUGAUCUCCGGAAACCCUCCUUUCUUACCACUCUCUGUGGUCCACGCCAUCAAGAUCUCUUGCCAGGGAGACAGUCUCCAAACUCUUGCCACCUUGCUUCUGAGUCCACUCAUCGAAACCAUCCGAUGGCUUCCCGGUGCCCUUUGAUUCAACUACAAAAUCCUCGCCAUGGCCUCUGAGGCCCCGGACCAUGCAGCCUCUGCUGCUGUCUCCAGGCUGAUCUUUGCCCCCGUUCUCCACCUGGUCAGUGCCUUUUCAUCCUUCAGAUCCCAUUAGGACACGUGUGUGGGUUUGAAUUCCCAGGACUGCCUGGGCACGGAGAAAGGUGGACCAGGAUACGCUCCAGCAUGAGCAAAAUGAAAACACGUCAGAAUGUGAGAGGAAGGGUAGGCUGAAAUUCUAUUCAUAACACUGCAGUACAGCUGUCUGAGGCCAACCCGCUUACCCAGCGUGCCAGUGUGAAAGGCACUUUUCACGUCCUCAGCAAAACCUGCCGUCCAGGCUGCCAGGCUAUUCUCACGAAUCGCUUCUGCUCCCACCUGUUAGGCUGUGCACUUCCGCAGAAGUACUGUCUGUUACGAAAACUGUUUGUGCCAGUUGUUCCUCAG